rnacentral:rRNA from 1 species
GAAGGGGGGCUAGCGUUGUUCGGAAUUACUGGGCGUAAAGCGCGCGUAGGCGGAUUGUUAAGUCAGGGGUGAAAUCCCGAGGCCCAACCUCGGAACUGCCCUUGAUACUGGCAAUCUUGAGUCCGGGAGAGGUGAGUGGAAUUCCUAGUGUAGAGGUGAAAUUCGUAGAUAUUAGGAAGAACACCAGUGGCGAAGGCGGCUCACUGGCCCGGUACUGACGCUCAUGUGCGAAAGCGUGGGGAGCAAACAGGGAUUAGAUACCCUGGUAGUCCACGCCGUAAACGAUGAAUGCUAGCCCGUCGGUCAGCAUGCUGGUCGGUGGCGCAGCUAACGCAAUAAGCAUUCCCGCCUGGGAGUACGGUCGCAAGAUUA